rnacentral:tRNA from 1 species
AGGGAGACAACACAAUGAUUUUGAUGCCUGAGUACUUUUAUUCUUAGGCCGAAAUCCUGUCACCUUAGGUCGAUCGGUACCUCAGCUUUGAAGUCAAGGAUCAGCAGCAAUGUUGAUUGCUUGAUGGAGAUUUUUAGUUCCUAAACUUUGUCUAGGUCACACCCCAAAAGGGAUGAGACUCCUGGGCCAUUAGCUCAGGUGGUUAGAGCGCACCCCUGAUAAGGGUGAGGUCCCUGGUUCAAGUCCAGGAUGGCCCAUUCGGUGUUGGGGGUUUAGCUCAGUUGGUAGAGCGCCUGCUUUGCAAGCAGGAUGUCAGGAGUUCGAGUCUCCUAACCUCCACUGACCGAACUUGAUUCCCAUCUCCAAUUUUUUGGAGUUGAGCUCGAUUGGAGUGUGAUUUAGAUGUGUCCGCUGGAUGACCCCAGCUUCCUGUCAUUCCAAGUUUUAGAUUUUAAGUCUUAAAUUUGGUUGAUAAGAUGCUGGGCUCGGAUCAAAUAAUCAAGCAAUUGAUGAUUUGAUUUGAAGUUCUAGCAGAACCUUGACAACUGCAUAGGUGAAGUCUGGAAAAACAAAGCAUCUUACAGAUGCAUUGUUUUGAAUCUGAUCUUCUGAAAGGGAGAUUGGAUCUAGAACAAUGAAAAUUCUUUUGAGCAAGAGCCGAGACUCUUAAAUGUUCUUUGAUUCGUGUCGAGCGAAUCAGAGUUUGAUCUUGUUUUUAGCAAUAAAAACUUGAGAAUCUGCUUUCAACGGCGGUAAGCGUUUAAGAGGUUAAUU